GUGCUCCUCUCCUUGAGGCAUUCCAUUGCUUCCCUUUACCCCCACAGUUUAUGGAGAGAUGAGAUGAGCAAACACCAAAGGAAAAGCGCCUUGGGAGACACUGCAUCCUUCUCCUUGCACGACUUGUCUAAGUCAUGCAUUUCUUUCCUCCCGCCUUCUGCAUUCUGCCCUGGUGCUGACGGUCCUUCCAAAAGGAAGAAAUCUUCCCAGGUAUUGGCUGUGUCCUAAAUAGCUGAGAACUGAAACUAUCUAAGUGAAAGGCUUAGUAGACAUUAAUCAAACCAAAAAGAGACAGAUAAUUAUGAUAUACAAAGAGAAGGAUUUAAAAAUAGUGUAUGAAAGAAGAGAAAUCUACAAGGAAGAAAUUCUAAAAGAAACAAUUCUGAAAGGAAUUCACCAGGUGGAUUCUGCAAGUUCUUUUUUUUUUAACAGAGUCUUGCUCUAUGUGUAAGUUUUAAUCUUCACACUGAGAUGUCUACUAAUUGCACCAUCAUGUACCAACAGUGACCCUGACUUUGAGUCUUAUUCUGGCCAUUCAAUAUAGAGGAGUGAGUGAACCUCUGAAUAAACCAGGGGUAGGGGAAUGAAAAAAAUUAUAAAUAGAUAACCUGCGGAUGGGAAAAACAGUGAUUGGAACAAUGGAAAUAUUGAUUGGGAACAGCAGAGAGUCACUAAAGUACAGUCACAUACUUAUAUCUCAUUCAUUCAUUCAUUCAUUCAUUCAUUCAAUGCUGAGUGGAUUUGGAUAAAUGUUUACUGAAGACACACCCUGUGCCUGUCUUCCCUGUGCCUGGCAGUGAAAAUGCUCAUGAAAUGAUUCCUUCUGUGCUCUUGAGGAGUGUCCAGUCUAGUGAGAGGGACAGCUGAAAACUAAGUGAUAGCAUAGUGUCACAUGCGAAGUGAUGGCUUGAAUAAAAGUACUUAUUUCAGCACCAGGAGGUGAAGAAAUGCUUUCCUGAAAAAGUCACUCUAAUCUGAGAAUUGACAGUACCCAGUUAGGUAAAACAAAAACAAACUGGUGAAAGUGUACCAGGCCAGAGGAGGAGGACAGUGUGUAGACCAGAGGACACCAAGGCCCAGAGGAAGGGCAGAAACUGACCCAUCCGGAAGACAAGCACGGUUGGAGCCCAGGAUUCCAGGCGGCGACUGCAUUUGAUGAAGUUAAAGAGUGGUGCAAGGCUUAGAUUUUGACUUGCGGCAGACAGAAAUCUUUGAAUUGAUUGGCGUUUUUAGAAGAAUCACUUGGGAUUAGCUGGGGUAGAGAUUGGAAGAAGCGGACCAGUGACCAGAGACUAUCCAAGGGUAUAGGUUGUCUCCCCACAGAACAGCAGCCGCUGCCACUGCAGAGUGCCACAGAAUGGACCAAAGACAAAGGCCAAGGUGGAGGAUAAAAUCGUCUCCACCCCUGCUUGCCUGGGGCCUCAGCUGAGCAUCAUUGUUGGAAUAACUCAACCAAUGUUGAUGUGAUACCACUGGCAGCUCUUCCUUGGGUCUGAAAAAUCUGUGGCAAACAAGCUUCCUAACACGAACUUAUCUCCUCAGUGCUCACGGUUAAAACAAGUUUUCCCAAAAAAUUAAUGAGUAUUUCCAUAAGGGAUGAAAAUAUUUUAAAAACUUGAAUCACACUUCAAGACAAAAGCCUGAAGAUGGAGCUUUGAGUCCUGACUCCCUGCCUGAGGUUCUCAUCUGUGGAAUGUUCCAGCAGUUGCAUCCAUCUUCCUGUUUUCUGUAUGGUUGCUUGUCCCCUAAGUGAACACAUUUACCUCUUCUACAGAAAGUCCUGGAUUGAAAGAAGCUGUUUUGGGGGACCUGAGCUGUCACCACUUGUUUCCUCAGAGAGAUUUGGCAGAAGGGGUGGCUGUGUAGCCCUGUCCUCCCCCUGCUCCUCAGCAAAACCUUCUGGGAGAGGCUUUCCCCAGGGAAGGAGGAGGAAUGCUCUUCCCGCGAGGGUGGCAAACGGCAGCCGAGCCUCCUGGUUAGAGCUUCCAACAAACUCUCAGUGCCCAACUGUGGGGGAUUUCUUCAAGGCAAAACAGAAACAGUUAAUUCAGAAAUCUCUGUGCUUUUAUGCUGAUUUUGUUACUUAAGUUGCUUUAAUACCUGUAUGAAAGCAGAAUAUAAAAUUAGCAAAUGGACUUUUCUAAAUCAUUUCAUUUUCUUUCAAAAAUAACUUAAAAAAUUUUUUUUUUACCUGAAGUGAUCAACAUUGUACGUUCUGAAAGUGUAAAGGGACUGAAAAGACAGGCUGAAAAAUAAAGUAAGAAGAAGAUUGUACAACAUUUCUAGCUGCCUUUUUUUCCUUUGAUAAGGGAACCCAUGCAGUCAGCUAAGAGCUGCCACCAAGAUCAAGGCCCUGCAGGGCACCGAUGAGCAGGAUCACCGGGAGCGCUGUGUUUACAGGGAUUUCAUUUUUCAUUUUGAAGGGUUGCCACGUCACUUUCCCAAGUUUUGCGGGGCAGAGUGAGGCUUCAUCAAGACAUGCAUCCAUGGACUGGGCGAAAUUCCAGUGUCCAUUAUUUCCUGGGGAAAGCGUGUAAGAGGCUCUCUCUAUCGCUCUUCUUACUUCUGCAUCCCCCAGAACACACAUACACAGUCACAGUCACACAUGUUUGCACCAAACACGGCCUCACUCUCACAAGACACUCACGAAGGUACGUUGACAGUCUCACAGGGUCACAAACAUGCACUAGAAAUCUGACACACACACACACACAUCCAAUCUCUCUCUGACACACACACACUAUCUCACACACACAUGCUCCUCUGCUCUGCUGAGUCAUCAGUCUUGGAUCUCAGCCUCAGCACGUGUGGGGCCUGCCCUGUGGGAGGCUGUUGAACACAGAGGGAAGCUGAGGUUGCACUGUCCACCUCCUCAUUACCAUAAUGAUUGCGUUCAGCAUCCUUCAUCAGCACAGGAGCACUAAGGGUUGGAGAGGACGUGCAUCACCUUUACUCGCACAGCUGCUCACAUCGGGCACUUGAGACGUGUAUUUGCUGGGACACUUGGGAGUGAAAUGGCUUGUGGAAUUUAGUCUCGUGUCAGUCUUCAGCUUUAAGUUUCAAGCGAUCCUGCUCUGGGAAUAAAUAUUGAGUACGACGUAGAAAACAGCUUUUCUUCAAGGACCUCUGAAAGCCAUGUAAGCACCAUUCUUUGAUAAACAUUCUCAUCCCAACUGAUGGAGGGAAAAGCCAGGAACAGGGUCCCAGGGAGGCCAAAGGGGUUCCCGACUGGGAAUGAGAAGCCAUCCCUUCAGGACUCUGCUGUGCCCCGACAGCAGGCACAGGAGGCGUGGUCCCUGCCUUUCCCCCACCUCACCUGCCCUUUCCCGCUGGAGUAAAUGGGAAGAGAGCUCUGCUCAAGCCUCAGCCUCCAGGACUCUCCAUCAUACCAGCUGCCUCAGGCAAAUUAAGCACAGCAAAUGCUGCUCUGUUCAGGGCUCCUCCCUGUUUAUUGCAAGACGGUGGUUCUCAAACCUGACCUUCUGGGACACUUAACGAUUACCCUUGACUUUUGAAUCUCUCCAUGAUAUCUGAUAACAGUCGAGUGUGGAUUUCUUGGUGAAGUGAGGUCUCUCCCUCCACCUUUGCCCAUGGAAUUGAGUGACGGUCACCCCUCAUUGACUCUGCGGAGAGCUGGUGCCUCCUACAGCAGAACAAGCAGGAAAUAGCGCAGCAGAGAGCAUCUUACAAGCCAGAGGGGCAGCAGAGGCAGCACGGGGCAGAGCUGGGCGGUGAGGAAACUGAGCAUCAGCUGCUGGAGCAGCUGCCGUGAGGGAACUGGCUGGGUUUAUCUCAAGAGGCUGUGCUGCUGGGGCCGACCAUUGGUGGGAGGUCCCAUGCUCACCGGGACAUAAGGCCGCCUGUGCACGAACCGUGUGGCAGCUGGCGUCCUUUGUUUCAACAAACAGAACUGCAUUUCCAACUAAAAAACCCAAGUGUGAAAUUUGUAGACACCGUGUAUCAGAGGGAAGAACUUGAGAAGAUUAACUAAACUUCUGGAACCUCAACCGCUCUCCCUUGUGCACCUCACGCCUCGAUGAGAUGAUGAAAUGUGAUACCGCGCAUAUCGAUGGUGGGAAAAAUGUUACGUGUCAUUCAGAGCAUUUGUCAGACGUUUAUUAAAGUCUCGUUUCAGGUUUGGAGGGUACUAUUUAGAAGUCUUAAUUUCCGAAUUGGAUCCUAUAAUUAUCUCAGGGUUUAAUAACACGUCAAAAGCAUAGCAGAGAAGGGAAAAAGAGUAUAAUUUUGCCUGCUCAUAUGAGGAACUAUUUAUUGAUUUCCCUUGGGGUCCUGAGCAGAAGGAGCUGUGUUAAGAAAUACUUUGGCUCGAAGUACCCAGCUGUGUAAGUGGUUUUGGGUGUGGACUCUUACGGCCAUGGUCCUAAAUGAUUCAAAUUGUAAGGUGGCAGGCAGAAGUCACACUUUUCUGAUAAAUGUUAAACUUAGUUACCUUCAUUAUAUCAACAUCAUCAAAAUCAAUUGUGUGUCUGUUUGUUUAUUGUGGUGGAGGCUGCUCUAGAGCUGCAGCCACAUCAUGGGAUCUCUGCUACCCCAGCUCUCCCGCACAUUCCAGGCUUAGAGACACAUGGAAUAAGUGAAUGAUGAACAAGUGAAAUCAGCAACAUUCAGCCCAAUCAUGAUCAACUGGUCUCUCAUCUGAAAGCCGCAAAGGUCAGAGAUCUGCUGGUCUAAACCCUGUUUUGUUGUGAGGAUGACAUCCCAGUGGAUGGAUUUACCAGCCAAGGCCAUCACUUUACUGAGUGUCUAGAAACCGCAUCUGGAGGCCCCUAGGGCAGUGCUGUGUCCCCCUUUCACCCACUACACCCUUCUGUGAAUCCUGGCAACCUUCAAAAAUGUACCUGAGGUGAAAUAAUGAGACAAAGGGCCUUAGUUCUAAAGCAAUCAGAAGCAGUGAGUUUGUGUGUUCUGAUCACCUCUCCCUGGCGCUGUGAACAGUCCCCGUUCUUACAGCACGAGUGCCCUGCUAGCCUUAGAUUUCCUCCUGAGGCUGCUGGGCCUGAGCUGGAUGUGGGGUUUUGUCCGAAUGUGCCAUCCCAGUCAGGUGCUUGAUGCUUGAUGCUCUGGCUAAGGAAUGAAGGUGUUAGGACCCUGAAGGGAAGUUGGGACCCCAGUACAUCCUUCCCUGGAGGUGACAUAAAGUGUCCUCUUCACUGAGCACAGACAGGACUUCUGUAAAAAGAGAAGUGAGCCCCAUGAGCUCUGUAAAAAGAGAAGUGAGCUGCCCGCCCUGCCUUCUCGGCUUUCCUUUGUCUUUCAGAUGGAGAUGCGCUGACCUGCCCCAAUACCUAUUGUUGUUUGUUAAAUUACUCCAAGAUAGUUAUAGUCAAUGGCAAACACCCACUUAGAAGCACAAAUCAUGUCAGAUGUUCAGGACCAGCACAAACAAUCAAUCAAGUAAACAGCACCUUCCUUGAAUAUGUGGCAGGUGUGUGAGGAUUUUAUGAACCUGUUCUGCAUUUCCAAAUCCACCCUGAGGCUUCUCCCAGGACACAGUCCUGUGGAUCAGCCUGUACUCGGGCGGUUUUACCUUCUGUGUCUCUCUGUCACAGUAGUCUUGUCCUAGUGCUCAUCACUGCACGUUCCCAGCUCCAGCAAGUGGCCAGGCUUUUCCCUCCACAGCCAAAGGCCCGAUGGCCCAGCCCCCAGGUGGCUGGUGGCCCUUCCAUGGCUGAGGUCACACACCCAGCAUCGCAUCCUGCCCUUCUCGGGGCCUUGGGCCCCUUCGGCUCUUCUCCAGGGAUUGCACUUGCUCCUGCUGCCCACGGCGGUUUCCUUCCUGUGAUUCCACUCGGAGGGGGCAGUUUUCUUUCCUGGCUUCAACCAUCACAGAGCUGCUUUGUGUUCACCGGCAGCUGCCACGCUUCCCUGAAAAGGCAGCUUCCGUUCUGCUGGAGAUGAACUGAUUUGCCUGGCAGCCAACUUAAACAAGGAGACUUGUCAGAAGUUGAUGUGCAGCAGAGAGUAGCAACUCUGACAAUAAAAGGGGUGAAUAAAUUAUUAUCCUUUAACCUCAAUCUCAGUAUCAGGCUGACAAAGAUGAACGACUACAAUCAAUUCUAUAACUGCAAACUCAGACCUAUUAAAUAAAAGUUCAUUUCUGCUUCUCAAUCUUGGAGGCUAUUGUGGGCCUCACUAAAAAUCGACAAGUGAAAAAUUCUGAAAUAAAUGAGACUUAAUAACACAACUUAGAAACCAGUGCUCUUAUAAUCAAAUGGAUAACUUAAUUUAUUAUAUACCAUUAAAAUAUUUCAAAAUAGAAUCAAAUCAUGACACAAACCCAAAGUGAAAAAAGCAUUUUAUUUUCAUACAAAUUUUAUCACACAGUUUUAUUUGUCUUGGACAUUGCACAUCAAGUCCUCUUAUUCAUUUUUAUUUUAAUCAGACAAGAUUUUUCAGAACCUUGCCUACUUUUGAAACAACGUCAUUCAAAGUAGAUGUUAGUGGUCCAGUUUACACUUUAGAUCAUGUACAGACAAAAUAAGAAUGAACGUUGAACACAGGAUGUGGAAGGGGCGCAAGUUAGUGUCUACAUUUAGAACCUCCAGUAGUUCUUACAAACAUAAGCUUAAUUUUACAGUACAGGAGGGCUCAAAGAUCUGUACCAUUGCCACAUGGUGGGGCCUGUAUGCCCCUGUGAUGGCUGAAAGUUGAUCUUGUGCCUCAAUUACACAAUGAUUGGUUCCACCAUGUAAUGAGAAAAUCUCAACGGGCUACUAGUUAACUACCAAGCCUUGUUAUUUUCGGAGUAUCUUGCAUCUUUCCAGCAGUAGCUUAUUUAGGGGAGGCAGGUAGGAAAUGUCCUCCCACUUAGGAAGCUUCAGAACAUGUUACAGUAGGUAAUUAGGCAAACAUGAGCAGGGCAGAAGAGGGCCCCACACCAGUAUUGUCAGGAGACCAUCCAGUGAUGGUCAGGUGGUUGUUAAACUGUCUCUUUAAAAUAAUAAUUGGUUGUAGUUGGCACCAGGGAGAGGCAGUCUCCUAACAGAUAGAAAAGCCUGAAACUGGUGAUCAGCAGCUUCCUAAUAAUAUCUCAGGAGUUGGAUGAGUGGGCUCAAGCAUACACACUGAGAGGCAAAAAUGGUGGCAUCUGACUGCUAUACGAUCUUCCUCUAGGAACAUUCAGCUGGCAAGGGAAAAUGCCUCAAGUGAGUAUGUUCACAACUCCAGUAAUCACACUGCGCAUGCGGCCCCUCCCAAGUGCUGGCAGGUCACUGCACAUACUGACAGCCUACUGCAAUGAAAGAAUCAGGGGAGAAUGGACACAAGACCCCGGAAGGAUGCCAAUGUAUGAAACCCCAAGUCAAAGCAACCUAUGUACUUGGAUCUCUCAAGUUGCCCACUUGGCCCUCUUCCAAGUGUACCUUACUUCCUUUUGUUCCUGCUCUAAAACCUUUUAAUAAACUUUCACUCCUGCUUUAAAACUUGCUUCAGUCUCUCCCUCUACCUCAUGUUCCUUGGUCAAAUUCUUUCUUCUGAGGAGGCGAGAAUUGAGGUUGCUGUAGACGCGUGUAGAUUCACCAGUGCUAACAAACACAGUUUACUGAACUGUUGCAGGUUCCACCCUCACUUCCGUGAAAGCAACGUGAGCCAAUUGUGACCCAUCAUGUCAGUAGUUUCAGUGGUGGGAUUGCAUGAAAAACACAAUGGUGAAACUCAUUCCUUUUAAAUGACAGUUCUGUACAAGUGUUCCUUCCUACUGAGAUUCCCAUGACGUUCGUCUCCAGGGUUGCGUUAGCAUUUCUCCAAGGAAGCUUGUCCCAGCCCUUUGAGUAGGAGCUGCACUGCAGGGCUGGAAUGAUGGGUUGGAAGGUCGCUCUCACUAAUAUGAGCUAUGGUGACUUCGUGCAAGUGAAUUGUGAACAGUAAUUCAGCUGAACUAAAUGGGAGCACUCAGGAAAACUUAAGGCAAAGGGGAAAAAGGAGUUAGAGUAGACAUGAGACUCACAAAGCUUACGUGGGAUUUCUUGAGAAAGAGCCUCCUCAGGUACUCAGUUGAUGGCCCAUGGCAAGACUGAAAUUAUUGCCAAGUUCGCUAGUGAGUGGGAUUUAAGAUAAUAAAAACUCCACAUUGCUAAAAGCCAAAAAGCCAAACUUUGUGCCAUGUUUUAUGUCAGAAAAUGUGCUUAUAGAAUGCCACAUAGGCCAAAGUUCACACUUAUUUUUUUUUCUCAAUUUGAAAAGGAAGUGGGGGUUACAACAAUGUCUCACAUAUCCCACUGUGUAUUUACAGUGGAGUUAGUUUUUCCAAGCCAGAAAAACAAGACCCCUCAGCUGUCAGAUAUCAAACUGGAUCAACAUUACCGAUGCAUUAGUAGAUAAUUCUCCGUAUUAGUUCUCAUGUUUCUAUUACGUAUAACUUACUUUUUAACCACAGCUUUGCUUUAAACUAUAAUUAAAAAGUCAACUGAAUCUCUGUGAAAACAAAUGGCUCCUGAGAUUUUGAAACUACCAGAAACUACCAGAAAUUUAAACAGCCUCAGGAGACAGCACCUACAGGAAUAAUGACAAGCCUGUAGAUUGCAUACCGAAAAUUACUUAGUUGUUAACUAAUUUAUGACUUGGAAUUUUGAUAAUAACUUUCAGCCAGUAGGGUCAUUGUGAAGACUUUAAAACUGCUGUGCAAGUCAGAAUGUGACUCAGCCACAGAGAACUGAGACUUUUUCAAUCUGAGGGCAUGGUGGGAGGUGGGUCCUUCCUAACUACCUUGUGGGGGUACAGGAAGAAAGAGAAAGAUCCCCACAGAGGCUGACUGUGUUGGCCUAAGUGUGGGGAUUUCCACCAAGCACCCUAGUGAUGCCCAUGCUGCUGGCCUAAGGACCUUGCUGUGGGCACCACAGGACUUGGGACUUCACCCCUCAGAGUGGGAAGCUUCUCUUCCUCAUCUGGCCUGUGCUGGAACCCACGGUGAACGGCUUCUUGGAGCAGAAUGUGCAACUCUGACAGAGAGUAAAUUCUUCCUCAUGUUAAACUGAGGAUUGCGCAACCCCUGAUAUGGCAGUCUUGCUGAUACAACUUGCUGCAAAGAGACACCCACACUUUUCCCAGGGCUGAGAAGACAAGCAGUUGAUGAUCUAUAUUGUGGCUGUACUUGUGAACCUGGGAGCUGACAGGCAGGAUCACUGAACCCCUCCCUCAAAUCUGAGGAAGUCUAAGGGCUAUGAUCCCUGUGGUCAGCUGGCCGAGGCAUUCUCCCUAGAAACAGGCCUCUGCAUGGAUUCAAGUUCACUGAUUUGCUGAAGAGUUGUUAGGAUUCUGUCCAGGAGGGACAGACAUUCCACCCUCACUCUCAUCAACCCCCAAAACGUGUAGGUUUGGAUAAAUCCCAGGGAUCAUCCUCAAUUGGCUCAUUUAAAGAUAGAGAAGUCUGGGCACAGUGGUUCACGCCUGUAAUCCUAGCACUUUGGGAGGCCGAGGCAGGUGGAUCACAAGGUCAGGAGUUCGAGACCAGCCUGACUAACAUGGUGAAACCCCGUGUCUACUAAAAAUACAAAAAUUAGCUGGGCAUGGUGGCACGCACCUGUAACCCCAUCUACUCAGGAGGCUGAGGCAGGAGAAUCACUUGAACCUAGGAGAUGGAGGUUGCAGCAAGACGAGAUUGCGCCACUGCACUCCAGCCUGGGUGACACAGCGAGACUCUGUCUCAGAAAAAAAAAAAAAAAAAGAUGGGGAAGCAGAGGCUUUUGGAGAGGAAGAAACUCCCUUGGGAUUCACAUGUUGCGAUUGAGGUUGCACCAAGACCAGUGUCAAGCGUGUGGCACCUUUUCCUUCACAAUACACGACCUGAGACACUAAAGUUGACAGUAUAUUCUGGAUUCAGUUAGAUGCCUUUAGCUCAUCACAGAAACCUUAAAACAGUGCUUUUAAAAAUAAAUUACCAUGCAAGGAAAAACUGGAUUCUUGUAAAACAGUAAGUACUAUCUAUGUAUACAGGCUUAAGAAUAAAAACAGAUGUGUCAAGAAACGAAGUAAAUCACCCACAGUCUGAUCAUAGUAAGACAAUCCUGUCUUGUUGCAGACUAAAAGUUUGUGUCCCCCAAAACUCAUAUGUUGAAAUCGAGUCCCCCAUGUGAUCAUACUUGGAGGUGGGGCCUUUGGGAGGUAAUUAGGUCAUGAGAGUGGAGCCUCAUAAGUGGAUGAGUGCCCUUACGAAAAGAGGACCUGGAGCCAGCUCACUUUCUCACUGCCAUGUGGGGCACAAGAGGGGCUUCACCAGAAGCUGACCACGCUGGCACUCUGAUCUCAGACUUCCAGUCUCCGGAACUGCGAGAAAUAAAUGUUUGCUGUUUACCAGUCGGUGAUAAUUUUCCCAGCAGCUAGGGUUGACUGAGACAUGGCUGGAAAAGAGGCCAAGCAUCAUCAUGGCCAAACUUCUUCUCUUCUUAGAGCCAACACUUCCUCAGGGGGCACUUAACACCCCUGUCCCAUCACACUCCACUUACUGAAGCAAAUUCUCCCACCUGAUCACAUACAGACGGGCCAGCUCUGAGGAGACAUGCAAUCUCCUUGUGAAACUCAUCACUCUUGAAGCGUGAUAUGAAGCAAUGUCCUUAUAGUGCUCACCUAAAUGGAUAAAUGGCACCAGUCUUCUGAUGGGAAAAUCCACAGGAAAAGUUCAAGUCUUGACCCUAAUUACAGAAGAAAUGAGCUCACUGCAGUCAUGAAACUCUGAGUCUAGAAGUGUCAUUUCCACACCGAGCCAGGCAGUUUCUUUAUUCCCUGAACCAUAUGUUUAUUUCUUAGCUGAACUAUUCUGUGAGUGGUUGUCAAGAACUAAGAUUUGUUAAAUUUGUUUAUUUUUGCUUUUCUCUCAGCUCAAAAUUAGAAACAUAUGUUCAUCACCUCCACAUAUGAGUAGUUCAGCAUGAACUGUUUUUCUCAUUUUAUUCCGAGCAGAUUAGUCAAAAUAGUUCUCAUUUCAAUGUUGACCUGAAAAAAGUAAGACAUGCUUGACUUAUUUUAUUAAUUGUGUUUCCUUUAUAAACUAGCAAAUGAACUUAAUUAACUGAAAUAUGGCCGUGCAUCUCAGUGACAUAAUGAGCGAUACUUUCAGGUGAGAGAUGCUAAAGGCAUCAUUAAGCCUGUGGAAGCAACAUGAAGAGACACAUCAGAGGCAUCAAGUCCCAUAGUUCAUGUCUGAAGUAGAGACUGCUAAUGGAAUCUGGGACUUUUCAUCUCCAGUGUUC
rnacentral:lncRNA from 1 species